CAUAAGUGCCAUCUCUCAUCCCAGGAAGCUAGUGAUUUCAAGAGUUGAAACGGAAGUACUCUGUCCGUGGAACACAUCAUCAGUUCAAUGAAAAAGAAAACUUUUUCACAAAACUGAAAGGACUGUGUUGGCCUGAAUCAGAAAAAGUGAAGUUUCAUUGAAAGUGGAAGAAAGUGGUGCUUACUCCUCCAUAUGGAAUUCAAUAAGGAGAACAAUUCUCUGGUCUUUAUAAUAGAAUUACAGAAUAGCAGCUAUGGCUGGAGAGACAAGCUGACUACUACUGUGGUGAUUGCCGAAGCUAUUUUAGGAAUAGCCUCUGUUAACUCCUGUUAAAGCUUUGGUGCUGAACGGCAGUACAAGUCUUCUGUCUGAGAGAGCACUGACUUAAAGGGACCACCGACUGCAAGAACAUUGUAAGUUGACCUUUCUGGUUGGUGUGCAUCAAAUGGGGUGCUUCUGGCUCUAAAUAACAAAA
ensembl:lncRNA